AUUGAACGCUGGCGGCAGGCCUAACACAUGCAAGUCGAACGAGUGGCGGACGGGUGAGUAAUGUCUGGGAAACUGCCUGAUGGAGGGGGAUAACUACUGGAAACGGUAGCUAAUACCGCAUACCAUCAGAUGUGCCCAGAUGGUAUUAGCUAGUUGGUGGGGUAAUGGCUCACCAAGGCGACGAUCCCUAGCUGGUCUGAGAGGAUGACCAGCCAAAUUGGAACUGAGCAAAUGUCCAGAAUCCUACGGGAGGCAGAAGUGGGGAAGAUUGCACAAUGGGCGCAAGCCUGAUGCAGCCAUGCCGCGUGUAUGAAGAAGGCAUGCGGGUUGUAAAGUACUUUCAGCGGGGAGGCGUUACCCGCAGAAGAAGCACCGGCUAACUCCGUGCCAGCAGCCGCGGUAAUAC
rnacentral:rRNA from 1 species